UACGUAGGGGGCUAGCGUUGUCCGGAAUCAUUGGGCGUAAAGCGCGUGUAGGCGGUCCGGUAAGUCCGCUGUGAAAGUCGGGGGCUCAACCCUCGGAUGCCGGUGGAUACUGUCGGGCUUGAGUACGGAAGAGGCGAGUGGAAUUCCUGGUGUAGCGGUGAAAUGGCGCAGAUAUCAGGAGGAACACCAAUUGCGAAGGCAGCUCGCUGGGACGUUACUGACGCUGAGACGCGAAAGCGUGGGGAGCAAACAGG
rnacentral:rRNA from 1 species